rnacentral:rRNA from 1 species
AACGUAGGUGGCAAGCGUUAUCCGGAUUCACUGGGCGUAAAGCGCGUGCAGGUGGCUUCGUAAGUUGGACGUUAAAUCUCCCGGCCUAACCGGGAGGAGUCGUUCAAUACUGCGGGGCUGGAGGGCAGAAGAGGGGGGUGGAAUUGCUGGUGUAGUGGUGAAAUGCGUAGAUAUCAGCAGGAACACCUGUGGCGAAAGCGGCCCCCUGGUCUGCUCCUGACACUCAGACGCGAAAGCUAGGGGAGUGAACGGG